rnacentral:lncRNA from 1 species
UUACUACAUAGGUUAGGUUUUCUUUUUCAUAGUUUUAUUCAAAUUCUAGGGUUUUCUAAAGCUUAUAAAUAAAGGCUAAUUGAUGUAGAAUAGGAUUAAGUAUUGAUGAUCAAGCUUUUUUUUUUAAUAUGUUACAAUUAUCAAUGGUGAGACUCCAUUGAUUUUUUUUCUAGGUGAGACUCCCGGAAUGCCUUAGUGAGAUUCCAAGAUUGUAUUUUUUUUCUUUUUUAUCUUUCUUUCCUUACAUUUUAUUUUACUUCUCUCUGCUGCCAUAAUUUUUUAUUCCUCUAUUGCUUUUCUUAAACCCUAUAAGAUUGAAAAUCUAGUACACCUAUUUGAUUGUAGACAACCAUUAUAGGGUUACUCAAGUAAGGUAAACUCAAUAUAUUAUUAUAAGGUUCGAGAAGCGCUCAUAAACUGGAGAGUGUUAAUGAUUUGGAAAAAUCAUUUGUUGUAAUUCACAUAACUAGAUUUUGUGUUGUUCAACCAAGUAAGGAAAACUAAAUAGAAUGAACAACUAAGACAAAUGCACUAUCAAGGCAAGAAGAAUGUCCAAAAAAAAUGGUUGAUCAGGUUGAUAGCAUAUUAUAAAAGUUCAACCACGCUCAAGGUGUUAAGGGAAUGGAAGGCCACGAAGAAGAAAUGAUAAGACACGAUAGCUCAUGCUCACUCCAAGUGACUGGGGAUAAAGGUUUUGUCGAACAAAAUUGUAAAUCACGUUAAUAUAACUUCUAAUCACAUUCUCAGCCAUUUAGCAAAUCCAAGCCAUACAUAAUUUAAAUCCACAAGCAAUGUGGUCUGAGGCAGAACACUGCAACAAACAAUUGAAUGUCGCCCAUUUUCAAAUGUUCUUCCCCAGUCCAAGGCCUUUAUUUACAAAAUGAAUGUUGGAAUCUCAGAAAUCUUAAUCACGUGAUUAAGUAUACACAAUCAAAUGAGCAUAAUCCACUUCACUUGAACUUCAUUUCUCCUUCUCUCAACCACCGAUGUGUUGAGUUACAGAUUUAACUCAUUAAGCACUUCAACUUUAGACUUCAAUUUACAGAGAUGACUACAGUCUUGUACCCAAACCAAAAAAAAAAAAAAAAAAGCGCUUGUGAAUACCACUUUAAUGCAUCUGAAUUAAAGCAACUAACAAACGAACUGAUCAUUCCAAGACACAAUCCAUUUCGCCCUAGACUUGAAUUCUCAACUCAUACUUACAGUCGCAUCAAAAAAAAAUUCUUGUGAAUACCACUUCAACGCAUCAAAAUUACAGCAAAUAAAGAAAAAUGAAGUCAUCAUAUUUUAACACAGCAUCAAAAUUUGAGAAUCGAGUUGAGAAGAAGUGAAUAGAAGAGAAGAAUCAAACCUUGCCAGACACUGAUUUUGAGAGCUUCUUUGUUGAGACCUAUGACAUAGUCCCCCAAAUACCUCUGCAAGAGCGAGGCCACCUGAUCCUCCAGCAUCUUCAAUCAUUCGUUGAAUCAAAAUGCAAUUGAUCUGGAGGAAACGAAGACGAGAAAGAAGAAAAUAAAAUCACAAAGAGAGAGAGAGAGAAAAUGGGGAAUUCGAGAGAGGAGAGAGAUACGCGGCUUGGAGGACACGUAUCUGUGAUGUGAGAGCACGCUGUGGCGUCAAUGAAAUCGUGCAAUCAGGAUUUGCCACGUUAGGAGGAAGGGUCACGUGUUGAGCAUGCGAGGUUGAGUAAGUUACAAUAAAGGCCUAUUCAGUUCGAGAAUGGCAUGAGAGUUAUGGGAAUUUACGAAGCUACCAUCAUCCGAAGGCGGUCGGCGUGGGGCCGACGCUUACAAGGAGAGAACGGUCAGAUGAGGGCGCUUCUGUUGGUGGCAAAACGACAGUCGUUUUGUGUUUUGUUAAGGAUUUUGCUACAUUUGAAUUGAAUAAAAAGAUUUACUACAAAGUACAAAUCGAAGCAGUAGACCAAGAGUAAGUGCCAAAUUGCAGAUGACGACUUAUUAUGUAAUUUAUAUACAUACAUAUUGAUAAAGUCAAGAGGCUUAUUAUAUAAGGUACCUGUUUGGAACAACAACUCACCAAAUAUGUAUGUAUUACAUGGCACGAAUUAGAAAAGAGAUUACUUGUCAUAACAAGUAUUAUACCGUUAUAUUUGACUAAAAGUUAAUCGAAUAAAUUUUAAUAUAUCUGACCAAGUUGAAGUUCAAGCGGCCAGCAAAAUUAGCUUAUUACUUAAUUUAAUUUAAACCAUUGCUUUUAGAAGGAUUGGACUGUGAAAAGUUUUUAAUGCUUUGAUUGAAAAGAAAUAAUUAAUAAUUUUAACAAUUUAAAAAUUAAAUAAUAAUAAUAAUAAUAAUAAUAUCCAAACAAACAAAGGGUACAACCAAACGGGCCUUAGUUUCUCAGGUAUCCCAUUACUUCAUCCCCACGAAAUGCCGUUGUAAAUUUCUAAGGUGAUCUAAUGCAAAACUCAUCCUCACCAAACCCACUACAAUUUUAAUUUUUUUUUCUUCCUGCCAGUCUCUCCAAUGUUAUGUUUGCCACUCGAUGCCUCAUGAGAAUUGAUAUAUUUGAAAAAAAAUGCUGAUAUAAUUAUCAAAAGACCUUAUUGGAUGUAUUCUCGUUCAUUCAAAACCUUAACCUAUUACAAAGCAGAGACCCAUAAAUUUAAUUGAAAUACGAGCCACAAUAACCUCUAAAACUAAAUUUUAUAAUAUCUUUUGAAGAAUCCAAUCACAAAUACAUUUUUUAUAUAUUAUUUUAUUUAUUUUCCUGUAAACAUGACAAUGAUAACAAAUAUUUAGAUUAUGAAAUAACUUUCAAAUAUUUUCUAUUAAUAAUAUAAUAAAACUAAGAAUAUUAUAUUUUUUAUUAUAAUAAUCUAUAACUAUUCUCGAGUCACUUCUAAUUUUUAAGUUUUUAAGGACUCAUUGUUCUAAUAACUUCCAUACCUUCUCUUAAAGUUAUAUAGCCUGCAGUAAUUAUUAAAACAUUACAUAUAUAUCUACUUACAACAAUUUUUAUAGUAACAUUAGAGUUUCUAAUAACCCAAUUUUAAACAAUUUUAAUUUAAAUCAAUCUGAUGAAUCUAUUUUUAAGCAACAUUGGUUCAUUUGAUUUGAAGAUAGGAGUCAAUCAUAUAAUUUUAAAAAUUUUAGAAGUUUAAUGUAAUUUUAUCAAUGACAAGAAAAAGGUUGAAUUUGAUCUUCCUAAAACAAUAUCCGACUUCCAUGAAUCCAUAUAUUUCAUAAGAUAAUGAAAAUUUUUUAUGCUUAAAAAUUAUGUAAUUAAUUUUAUAAUAUUUAUUCACCUCACCUUCAUAAAAGAGAGGUAUAGGACAAUUAUACAUCCCAAUUCCCUUAAACAAAAUGAAAAUAUUUUAAAAUAUGGUCAAUAUUUUCAAUAGAAUCAUUUUGCAAAUAAACAGUUCUCACCCAAUGCUUGGUGCCACCAACCCAACAAGCUACUUACGAUACCUAAUAUAAUUCAUCUUCUAGGUUUCACCCACAUAUGACUUUUCCACAACCAAACUUCAAGGUUACAACUACUCCAUAAACCUCAGCCCCAGAUGCAGAGGGUCAAAGUCCAUAUUCAUUAAUGAGAUCUAUUUUCGAGGGCUGCAAUAUCAACAUGACAUUCAAACAGUGAAAUCCCAGCAGUGAACCAAAUCACCAAUGGUUAAUCAUCAGUUCCCUGUGAAGCAGGGAAGAAACACAGAGGAUAAAGUAAAGUUAGUAAACAGAUCCCUGGAAAUCCGUGGGGAAAAUGUGAAAAUUUGGAAGAGAGACAAAUUCCAGAACUUUGAUUACCGCAACAAGCAGUUGUUUUAACUUUUUCAAAAGCACACUUCUCCAAAAGCCACUCUGCUUUUCUCCACUGACCAGGAAAUUUACCAGUCGUAAAUCAAACCCUGUACCCCAGUUCUUACAUCACCCAGAAAACCAAUUCCCAGUUCCAACCACUAGCACAAAGAAAAAUAUAAGACUCCAGUAAGUAUAUGGUUCUCCAAAUUUUCCAUAUUUGAUAUUGCCAAGAGGAGGAAACCCCCAAAAAAAGAGAUCCAUUACAUACCACAUAUUCAUGCAAGACACUCCUCAUAUAAACAUUCACAGUAUGUAUAUUUUGCCAAAAAAGGAAAACCAAAAAGAAAAAAAAAAUAUUCACUUCUUCUUGUUUCUCUUCCCCUUGGCCCUCUCCAUAGAUUUUCCAAUAUUUUUUAUAUUAUUUAUUAUUUGCCUUCUUUUGUUAUUGGAGGUAGUGUUAAGCGGCUGCCACUGUGCCUGUUCUGAAAGGAUAGUUCUGAGAUUUGCUUGGAGUUGACGACGUUUUCUGCUCUUUUCUAAAGGCCUUAAUGGAAGAAAUACUCCGGUUCUUCUCUGUGGCCUCAUCCAUCUCUAUCUGCUCUUGUCUGCACUCUUCGCUACAGAAUGGAGUGUCCCCCCUGCAAAAGUUCAUCAGACACCUAUCAGUUCUAUUGUCUUCAGCCAUGUAUAGAACAUUCAUUGAAUACUGAUCCCUUCCCGUUUUCUUUAAUGAAAAUACACAACAGAAUAAAGGGCCAGUCUGUUUGCAAAGUAGAAAUGGAAAAUGAAGUUGUGGUAUCUUAAAGUUUCAUUAGAGGUGGAAAACAAAAUCUAAAUUUUCUUGUCCCUUUCCUUCGUUUUCUCCGAAGCAAAGGCGUAAAGAAAAGAGAAGCAAGGGUUUUCUGGUUUCUUAGUCCUUUUCCCGCUUAGGAUUCCUGGUUUUCCUAAUAAAAUCCAAUAUUCUUGUUCUACAUAUCAUAAUUACAUAUAUAGAAAGAAGAAGAAAAAGAGCGGCUCUCCAUUGAAAAAAAAAAAAAAAAAGCAAUGAGAAAAUUUUCCGCCAUUUCAUAAUAAAAAAACAACCAGAUGCCAAUGGAAAUUGAGACGAAAAGCAUUAAAAGAAAAAAAGAAAAGGGUACAGGACGAUGAAAAGGGAAGAAAAGGUCUAACCUGUACAUGUAAAUAUCUCUGUUAUCGCCAAGGGGUUUGUUGCAAAGAAAACAAGCUUCAAGAAAAUGGGGUUGAUGAUCUUCAAAUCUAGCAUCAUAAAACCUGGCAGAUCUCGGAGAAGAAGCGCUGAAAAAAGAGAGGUUUCUCAAACUACCUCUCCUGUGAGGAGCACUGUGGGACCUAGAGAAGAAAAGGUGGUUGCCAGAGAAUCCAGCCUCCAUAUCUGAUAGAGAAGCCUGAGUAUCGUCCUCUUCUUCGAUGAAAUAUGGUUGUCUGGUGGGUGUGGAGUCCAUGGAUGCUUAAGGAGAGAGACGA